UACAGAGGGGGCAAGCGUUGUUCGGAAUUACUGGGCGUAAAGGGCUCGUAGGCUGCCAACUAAGUCAGACGUGAAAUCCCUCGGCUUAACCGGGGAACUGCGUCUGAUACUGGAUGGCUUGAGAUUGGGAGAGGGAUGCGGAAUUCCAGGUGUAGCGGUGAAAUGCGUAGAAAUCAGGAAGAACACCGGUGGCGAAAGCGCUCUGCUGGACCUUAACUGACACUGAGGGACGAAAGCUAGGGGAGCGAAUGGG
rnacentral:rRNA from 1 species